UGGGGAAUUUUGCACAAUGGGGGAAACCCUGAUGCAGCAACGCCGCGUGAUUUAGAAGGCCUUCGGGUUGUAAAAAUCUUUUCUAUGGGAAGAAAAUGACAGUACCAUAGGAAUAAGGACCGGCUAAUUACGUGCCAGCAGCCGCGGUAAUACGUAAGGUCCGAGCGUUGUCCGGAAUCAUUGGGCGUAAAGGGUACGUAGGCGGGUAAGCAAGUUAGAAGUGAAAUCCUAUAGCUCAACUAUAGUAAGCUUUUAAAACUGCUCAUCUUGAGGUAUGGAAGGGAAAGUGGAAUUCCUAGUGUAGCGGUGAAAUGCGCAGAUAUUAGGAGGAAUACCGGUGGCGAAGGCGACUUUCUGGCCAUAACCUGACGCUGAGGUACGAAAGCGUGGGUAGCAAACAGG
rnacentral:rRNA from 1 species